GAGCAAUAAUAACACAUCUAAUUUCUUUACAUGAAAAGGAAAGGCAACACAGAUUAAGUGUUGGUUAAUGUGUACUAAGACUUGUACUAAAGUGUACGAGAAGCAAGCAGGAAAUUCCUAUUCAGUUUAUUUUGAAAAUCAAUCGCGUCAUUCGCUUCCGAAGUGGAAAACAACUUUAAUAUGCACAGCACCUUUGACGUUAUUCACCAUCGUUGUUGACACACAGAACUUCUUUCUACUAGAAACUCGAGAUGGUGUUGAAAACUCUUCUAAACCGUUUGGCGUAGCUAUUCAUAAAACAACAAAGCCUUUACAUUAUCUUUUCCCAGUUUCUUAUGGCAACGGUAUUGUUUUCUAUUGUAGCGCUUCAUCGUUGAAACUGAAUCACGCGUGAUUGCAAAGAUUUCUAAAGGGACCCUAUUUAGCGCGUGAAUGAAAACUAUAACACCAGGUAUUAACAUCAAUAGCAAGUGCUUCAUCACAAAACGAAACUCUAGAAAAACAAAAUUCCAACUAGUUGGAAUGACUCGACGGCAUCCGGAAUGAAUCACAGGUAGCUUUGGAACAACAUGUUGGCGGAUAGUUUUGACUAGUGGACACACGCAAUUGCGCUACUGAUGCUCAUUAUUCAUAGCCAUUUCGUGCCAUUGGAUAACUACACCAUCGUCAAUAAUGACGAAAUCGAAACAAAAAAAAGGCGGUGAAAAAUGAUCAUUCCGCAACGUUUAUGAAUGACGAAGAAAAAGAAGAAAUAUAAAUACUUCUGUAUACGCGAUACAUGGGUUUGCAACGAUGCUGGAAGCCUCACAGUUCUUCACGCGCUUCAUUCGCUCGCAUAACAAUGGUUAGUGGGAUGGGGAAGAUAAUUAUGCGUUUCUUCGAUAUUUGAAAAUGCAUACGACACGAGCGAUUAGAGGUAGUGUAGGAAUAGUGGUUGUUAUGUCAGAAUGAACAGGUGGACCCUCUGGCCUGAAAAGACGAAUCAGGAUGAUAGAAAACCUUAUAAAACGAGGUCAAAUCGAAGGUAGAGGUUAGUCGAGUGAACAUCUCUGACACAGUAUAGUACUAGCAGUCUUUCAAAUACCAAUAGCUGAUUUAAUAUAGUGUCUUCCAGUUCCAACCUGCAAUCAUGGGUAAUGUACACACUUCAACUUGUUUAAUGAUUUUAGUUAAUGUGAUGAUGCAAUUGUUGAUUAAAUUGAUGUUUGAACGAGGUGAAAUGAUUCUUUAUUGUCGUUUUAAGCAUUUCAAUGUCAUAAUGGAAUUAUGAAAAUUAAUGUUUUUUUUUUUUUCGUCAGGUUAUGAUGGCAUUAUGCUGCUACUAGCUGUCGUCUUCUGAUGACUGGAUCGACUUUAAGUGUGCCGAUGGGUUCAUCUUGUGGAUACGGUAUCUAUUCAUACCAGACAACCACUGCUGUGUCGUAUUACG